CAAACAUUUUCCCUUCUCUUUUUUUAAUUGGCCAAAAUAUUUUCCCUCUCUCUAAACAGCUUUAGCACUGACCCUCUCUCUCAUUUUCCCCCCAAUUUGAUCCUCUCUUUCAUUUUUCCCCUAAACGAGGCAUCUUCGAAGAGUCUAGUGUUCGUUGAGACGGAGAAUGCAUUUUCGAGAACGGAGAAGCCUCCUACUGACGAUAUUUGACCUAUUUGCAUUGGAAAUUUUGUUGUUCCUUUUCGAUGUCCCUGCGGUCACUGUUUCUGUGGGAAGGGUUCAUAUGGGGCUGUUUAUAAAGCUCGAGACUUGAGGACUUCAGAAAUGGUUGCCAUCAAAAUCAUAUCAUUAUCUGAAGGGAAGGAAGGCUAUGAAGAAAUUCGAGGUGAAAUUGAGAUGUUGCAGCAGUGCAGUCAUCCAAAUGUUGUUCGCUAUCUUGGUAGCUACCAAGGAGAAAAGUACCUUUGGUUAUGAAGGGUCAUCAUUUCAUUGGAAUUCAAAAUUAAAUCAUGCUCUGACUGAUUUAUUCAAGUGGUUCUGUUUCCGUUUUCCCUUUAUAAUAUCUGCAACCUCUACUAGAACUUCAGUUUAUUUAAUUUAUGAGGAAAAAUAAUUUUUGGCAGAUAGUAAUGGAGUAUUGUGAGGAUGGAAAUGUUGCUGACUUGAUGAAUGUCACAGACGAGGCUUUAGUGGUGUCCCUAGACCCCACUUCCAGAAAAAUAGUUUUGCUUGUAAAACAACCUUGGCAUUGAAAGAUGGAACUAAAGCUGAUCUUUUAACUUUUGCUAUAAACCUCAGGUACAUAUUCUGCUCUUCAGCUGGUGUAUACCUCAAAACUGAUUAUUUACCACACUUUGAGGUGGUAGAGGAUUUAAAGAACUCAACUUCACCUGCAUUACUACUUGUAUGCCAUGACUACAAUGCAGGCUCUAAAGGGGAAAUGGAGGGGAUUACUGAGAGAUAUAGCAAGAUCAUGAAAGGUUCUUGGGUAGACCAAUUUCGAUAUGGUUCUAAUCCUUGGAUGGCUAGAUAUCUUUACUCCUUAUUGUUUCUCAUUGCUAAUUUGUUAGCUUGGGCUGUUCGUGAUUAUGGGCUUAGCAUUUUGAAAGAAAUAAAGAGACUUAAAGGAUGUAAUGGCGGUGAAGACUGUAUGGGUGCAGAAGGAGUAUUAAGAGUUAGCUUGGGGUGUUCCUAGCUCUCUAAUCCAUUUUGAUUCAAGUUAGUUAGUUUACAAUCAAUCCUAAAAUUUACUCAAUGAUAGUAACAAGUUAAUGCUUGAUACUUGAAACAUAUGUUAUGAUUUUAUUUUAUUUUAUGUUCUUUGAAACUUUAAUGGCUUUGUGCAGGCAACUCAGUGAUGAAAUUCUUGAUUUUCUCCUUAACAUCAUAUUAGCUUUUCUAUUUUGCCAUGUUCCUGUCUACAGUUGGUACUUCGAAAAUGAACGACUCUAGAGAAUUAUAGCACUCAGGGUGGUGGUUUGCCAAGCAUUUCAUGAACAUUUCUCUAAUGUGGUUUGCCAAGCAUUUCAUGAACAUUUCUCUAAUUAUACUGCCCUUUCUUUUUCCAGCAGAGAUUAUUUCAAUCUAUGGUUAGUAUCGAUGCAUAAUAUUCUAGUAUGAUGAUGUAAUUAUGUGGUUGGAGUGGAUCUUAGAAUAUUGAAGUUUUAGUAUUUAAAUUUGGUUUUGGAGUUUGAAGAUACUAGUUAAUGUUGAAAAUUUAAUUUUGAAGUUUAACGUUCAAUGUAUUUUUGA